CAGCGGCUGCUGCGCGGCGCAGGGGGUGGUGUACUUUAAUCAGCAUUUAAUGACCCAGUCGAAAAUUCAUUGUUUGGACCCAAGCACUGGUGGGAAAGGCAGGAGGGGAGGCCUGCCUUCCUUCCUCCCUCCCGAGCCCUACAGCAGGCCAUGGAGUGGUGAGCGAGUUCGUACAGUGCCAACCACAUUCCCAGAAACUUCCAGCAGAGGUUAAUCCUGCUCCUCUCAGGUGGGCUUGGCCCAUUCUCUAGACUUUGGAAGGUAAUGUUCUAUAGAGGCCUGUUCUGAAGCUUUACCAGGUCAAACCGGAGAAGAACCCAACAAGUAACUCAUCCCAGCCUAACUAUUCUUCAAGGGCAAUCAACCUACAGCAUCCAAGCACAGAGAAAUCAAAUCCAUGGAGAAUCUUCAAAUUAGGCUCAGAAUCCAUUUGGGUCAAUGAAUUUACUGUUAUUAAGAUCUUAGUUGUGUUCAACCAUGAUUUGACAUACCUUAGAGUGAGAAGAUAUUCUUCCUGGCCUCAGACUAGUUGAAGGUAGAGAGAGAGACAGGCCCUUGGGUGUGGGGAGACCUCUCCUGGGAUAAUACACACAAAAAACCAAGAGCUGCUCACUGUGGUGCAGGAGACAGCAGGGCCUGAAGCCAGAGGCUCUGUGUCCUUGAAUACAAUGUUUUACUCCUCUGACCCCUGUUACUGUGAUUUGGAGAGGCAGACAAUAUAGGAUGGGCUUUGCAGGCAGGGAGGUCCAGUUAUAAUCCCAGCUCUUACUAAGUUGGGUAAGACUCACUCUGAGACUUAGUUUCUUCUGUCAUCUCUCAAUAGAAUCAUAAAGGUACUUUCCUCUUAGUGUUGUUUUAAAAUUCAGUAAAAUAAUGCAGGCUUAGCACAGGGUCUGAUGUAAAUUUUCAAUGAAUUAUCGUUGUCAAUAUUGUUCUGGAAAACAAGAGGGCAUAUUAGAAGAUCAAAAGUACUGCCAAGCAUUGAAGUGCCAAUUCUAGAUCCAGUCUCAGCCCUCUGAGAAUGGAUAUCAUUGUUUUCAAGCCAUUCAGAAACCAAUGUGAAUUGAACACCUAGUAUGAGCUCUCUGAGGGAAGAGCCAAGUCAUGCAUUUUUUAUCUUAAGGGGUCUUCAAUACCUCUAGCCCAAAACAGUAUCUCCAUCAGGAUUCUUCUCUGAUAGUGUUCAUUUCUUUUUUCUCAAUGGAUGCCUUAAAAAAAAAAUCCUACAAGGAAACCUGUACUCCUCAAAUACACCACUCAGGUGACCAUUAAAUCAUUUACAUUGUUAAUUUCUUUUCAGAUGUGUGUCUUUUUCCCUAGUUACAUCAUCAGGACCUUGAAGGUAGGGACAGGUCUUAGAUUUCUUGAUGCCCCCAUAAAUCUAGGUACAGAGUAGGUCUCUGGACAUCAGUAUAAGGCCCAUGAGCCUGAUAGCUGCCCAGGUGGGUGCUGUGUGCCUGGGCGUGGGAAGGACAAAAGAGAGGUCACUAAAGGGGUUCCUGGGAAGGAAGAGCCCCUCUGACUUUAAAAGGGAGCCCAUACACUUUUUGGACAACUGGAAUAAUCAGAAAGCUGUUUUUGGGGAGGCAGCAGCCAGAAAAACCUGGGGCAUUGGGUCAACCAAAGCCCUUCCCAAGGCUGCAGUGGCUGCAGCUAGUUAGCCCAGCUUCCCUACCAGCCCCAGGGCUGCAACUGAACAGUGUUGGCUUCUUAAUAAAAACAG
rnacentral:lncRNA from 1 species